rnacentral:rRNA from 1 species
UACAGAGGGUGCGAGCGUGUUCGGAAUUAUUGGGCGUAAAGGGCGCGUAGGCGGUGCGGUAAGUCACCUGUGAAAUCUCCUGGCUCAACUGGGAGCUUGCAGGCGAAACUGCCGUGCUGGAGUGUGGGAGAGGUGCGUGGAAUUCCUGGUGUAGCGGUGAAAUGCGUAGAUAUCAGGAGGAACACCUGUGGCGAAAAGCGGCGCACUGGACCACAACUGACUGAGGCGCGAAAGCUAGGGGGAGCAAACAGG